rnacentral:rRNA from 1 species
CCUAGGGGGUGCAGCAGUGGGGAAUAUUGGACAAUGGGCGAAAGCCUGAUCCAGCCAUGCCGCGUGUGUGAAGAAGGCCUUCGGGUUGUAAAGCACUUUCAGUGGGGAAGAAAGCCUUGGGGCUAAUACCCUCGAGGAAGGACAUCACCCACAGAAGAAGCACCGGCUAACUCCGUGCCAGCAGCCGCGGUAAUACGGAGGGUGCGAGCGUUAAUCGGAAUUACUGGGCGUAAAGCGCGCGUAGGCGGUCUGAUAAGCCGGUUGUGAAAGCCCCGGGCUCAACCUGGGAACGGCAUCCGGAACUGUCAGGCUAGAGUGCAGGAGAGGAAGGUAGAAUUCCCGGUGUAGCGGUGAAAUGCGUAGAGAUCGGGAGGAAUACCAGUGGCGAAGGCGGCCUUCUGGACUGACACUGACGCUGAGGUGCGAAAGCGUGGGUAGCAAACAGGAUUAGAUACCCCGGUAGUC